ensembl:lncRNA
AAAACUUAUGUUUUGUCGUCAGGUAUGGCAACCAUAAUCCAACGUUUCCUAGACGUCAUAAUGGCAACGUCCACACAACGUCAAAUUAAAACAUCAUUUGAUGUUGAUCUGUAGUUAGUUUUAGGUUGUGGCAUUAACUAACCAAAAUCCAACGUCGAGCCAACGUCUCAAGCCAACGUCACAUUGACAUCAAAUACUGAUGUUUUGUCGUCAGGUAUGGCAACCAUAAUCCAACGUUUUCUAGACGUCAUAAUGGCAACAUCCACACAACGUCAAAUUAAAACAUCAUUUGAUGUUGAUCUGUAGUUAGUUUUAGGUUGUGGCAUUAACUAACCAAAAUCCAACGUCGAGCCAACGUCUCAAGCCAACGUCACAUUGACAUCAAAUACUGAUGUUUAUUCAUCAGGUAUGGCAACCAAAAUCCAAUGUCUUCAAGACGUCAUAAUGGUAACGUCCAAUGAACGUCAAAUUAUAACGUAAUUUGACUUUGAUCUUUAGUUUGUUUUUAGGUUGUGACAUUAACUAACCAAAAUCCAACAUCAAGACAACGUCUCAAGCCAG